GCACCGGUAGCUCAGUUGGUAGAGCGUGCGAUUGCAAUAAAAAGCAUCCAUCGCAAGGUAGCGUGUUCGAUCCACGCCCGGAGCU
rnacentral:tRNA from 1 species